rnacentral:rRNA from 1 species
AUUGAACGCUGGCGGCAGGCCUAACACAUGCAAGUCGAGCGAGCGGCGGACGGGUUAGUAAUGUAUGGGGACUGCCCGAUAGAGGGGGAUAACUAAUGGAAACGGUGGCUAAUACCGCAUACUAUCGGAUAACCCAUAUGGGAUUAGCUAGUAGGUGGGGUAAAGGCUCACCAAGCCGACGAGCUAUACUUGGUCUGAGAGGAUGACCAGCCACACUGGGACUGAGAGACGGCCCAGACUCCUACGGAGGCAGCAGUGGGGAAUAUUGCGCAAUGGGGGGAACCCUGACGCAGCCAUGCCGCGUGAAUGAAGAAGGCCUUCGGGUUGUAAAGUUCUUUCGGUAGCGAGGCGUUACCUACAGAAGAAGCACCGGCUAACUCCGUGCCAGCAGCCGCGGUAAUAC